GGAGUGUUGUUAAAGUAAGGACUGAUCAGCUAGGGAAAAAAAUGAACUGCUGCAAGUGCAGCAAUAAAAGCCUGGCUACAAAGACCUAUCAAAGCUAGAGAGCUGAAAGCACUCUCUCCCUUCUCAGUAACAGCUGGAACCUGGAGGAGUGGGCAUGAAAAGAAGCAUUUUCUUCAGGCGGCAGCUGCAAUACUGGUGAAGGAGACACUGGUUCAGGAGGAUAGCUGCUCACACAGGAAAAUGCUCAAGAAGAAAAAGAAAAUCUUGGGAAAACAGAAGCCUUGGAAAGCAAGUCCACAGCAAUGUUAAGGAGGUACUCUACAUUCAAUGAGAAAAAUCCAAUAUCACACAAGUGGAUGUCUGCUCACACAGGGAGACUUUAUCAUCCUCUUC